UACGUAGGCAGCGAGCGUUGUUCGGAAUUACUGGGCGUAAAGAGUGUGUAGGCGGUGCUCUAAGUUCGGUGUGAAAUCUCCCGCUUAACUGGGAGGGUGCGCCGGAAACUGGAGUGCUCGAGCGUGGGAGAGGAAAGCGGAAUUCCUGGUGUAGCGGUGAAAUGCGUAGAUAUCAGGAGGGAACACCUGCGGUGUAGACGGCUUUUCUGGACCAUUGCUGACGCUGAGACACGAAAGCGUUGGGUAGCAAACAGG
rnacentral:rRNA from 1 species